UAGACCUCAUCUCGGGUGAGUCCACCCUGAGAACUUACCUAUAUCAAAGGGGAAAAAAAAA
rnacentral:rRNA from 1 species